rnacentral:lncRNA from 10 species
CGUAGGCACUCUCGCAGUUCCUCCGCCUUCAGGAAGGUCUUUUUAGCAGGGGCCUUACGGGUGCAUGCUUCGGUCCUGGAGGACUUAGGCUAGCCUCCUCUCCAUCAGCGCCACCCGUCUGGGGCCCGAAAGGAGGGAGCUUUCCCUCUGUCCCCCAGCCUUUGGACUGUCACCAAACAAGCCAUUCGUUCACCAAAUACUUUUUAAGCGCCUACCAUGUGCCUGACAAGGGAUAUGUAACGCUGUUGUUCCACACCAGAACCAAAUGAGCGCAAGAUCUGACAAAAAAAAAAGUCCCUGUAUCCUGAGAUGGAGUCACCUGAGAAUCCACAGCAAGUCCUAACCAGGGAUGGGUCUGGGUGAUUAAGGAAGAUUGGCUUCAGAACUGGGCCAGGGGCACUGCUUUGCUUUUGCUGUUUUGAUCAGCUCUCUGCCUGCAGGAGACGAGGAAAACCAAUGGGAACAGUCUACAGUUGUAUCCAGCAGCUCCAGAGAGACAGCGACCAGCAAGAAGGGGCCAUGAUGAUGGUGGUGGUUUUUUCAAAACGAAAAGGGGGAUAUGUAGGGAAAAGAAAGAGAGAUCAGACUCUUACAGACUCUUACUGUGUCUACAUAGAAAGGGAAGACAUAAGAGACUCCAUUUGGAAAAAGACCUGUACUUUAAACAAUUGCUUUGCUGAGAUGUUGUUAAUCUGUAGCUUUGCCCCAGCCACUUUGCCCCAACCACUUUGACCCAGUCUGGAGCUCACAAAAACAUGUGUUGUAUGAAAUCAAGGUUUAAGGCAUGUAGGGCUGUGCAGGAUGUGCCUUGUUAACCAAAUGUUUGCAAGCAGUAUACUUGGUAAAAGUCAUCACCAUUCUCUUGUCUCAAUAAACCAGGGGCACAAUGCACUGUGGAAAGCCGCAGGGACCUCUGCCCUUGAAAGCUGGGUAUUAUUCAAAGUUUCCCCCCAUGUGAUAGUCUGAAAUAUGGCCUCGUGGGAUGAGAAAGGCCUGACGGUCCCCUAGCCCGACACCCAUAAAAGGUCUGUGCUGAGGUGGAUUAGUCAAAGAGGAAAGACUCUUGCAUUUGAGAUAGAGGAAGGCCACUGUCUCCUGCCUGCCCCUGGGAACUGAAUGUCUCGGUAUAAAACACGAUUGUACAUUUGUUCAAUUCUGAGAUGGGAGAAAAACCGCCCUAUGGUGGGAGGUGAGACAUGUUUACAGCAAUACUGCCUUGAUAUUCUUUACUCCACUGAGAUGUUUGGGUGGAGAGAAACAUAAAUCUGGCUUACAUGCACGUUCAGUCAUAGUACCUUCCCUUGAACUUCAUUAUGACAUAGAUUCUAUUGCUCACAUGUUUGUUGCUGACCUUCUUAUUAUCACCCUGCCCUCCUACUACAUUCCUUUUUGCUGAAAUAAUAAAGAUAGUAUUCAAUAAAAACUGAGGGAACUCAGAGACCGGUGCCAGUGCAGGUCCUUGGUAUGCUAAGCGCCGGUACCCUGGGCCCACUGUUGUUUCU